rnacentral:tRNA from 1 species
GUGAAUUUAGUUUAACAGAUAAACAUUUGCUUUGCGAGCAAAAAUUGAUGGUUUAAAUCCUUCAAUCCAC